rnacentral:rRNA from 1 species
CACACGACUCUCGGCAACGGAUAUCUCGGCUCUCGCAUCGAUGAAGAACGUAGCAAAAUGCGAUACCUGGUGUGAAUUGCAGAAUCCCGCGAACCAUCGAGUUUUUGAACGCAAGUUGCGCCCGAGGCCUUUUGGCCGAGGGCACGCCUGCCUGGGCGUCACGC